GGGGGUGAAACGGCUUCGACGGGGCAACGAAAGGAUCGAGAGGCGACUCGGAAUGGUACCGCCGUAAUGGACCAAAGCGUUAUAAACGCCAACGACGAGCAUUACGCUCCAGCUCUGGCCGCGGCCUAAACCGCGCCAGGCGGGGUCCUGAUCCGGACCCGGCAACAGAAGCCGCGAGGCGGGAUCACCCCGGAAUUGCGCAUGCCGGUUUCAUCCAGGGGCGCCCAGUACUGCGAGGAUACGGAGGUCCCAAGGUCAGCCAACCUGUAAUGGCCGAGGGUCUGCAUAAGGUUGGCAGAUGGUCGUAAUUCCUCUUGUCUGACUAGGUGUUUCGGACGCGGGUUCAACUCCCGCCACCUCCACCA
rnacentral:tmRNA from 1 species